CCAUCGCUCAUAAAAAUCUACAACAAAAUACAUGGGUGGUGUAGAUCGCUUCGAUGAGAAUUUCGAUUCUAUGAGGAUAGGUUUACUAGGAAAUAAAUGGUGGUUUCCACUGUUCGCUUUUGGACCGGAUGCAUCAUGUCAAAAUGCUUGGCUGAUCCAUAGAAUGCGUAACAAUAACUGGACCUACUGCGAGUUUCGUGGAGCUGUCGUGACAUCCUAUCUACAAAAAUACGGUAAACCCCGUUAUGGACUAUGCUAUCAACGUACCAGAAAAAUGUGUUCGAAGUCUAAUGUCGGCUUCAUGCUAAUAUCUAUAUCUAAAAUGCUGGUAUAAGUUCCGUAAUAAGUAAAAAAUAAAGCACACACUUUACAAUUAAACAUAUUCACUACAUACAAACAAACGUUCACAAUUUACACGCACUACAUUUAUCAUUUUCGUGUUUCUUUUACCCAUAAUAAAACCGUAGAAAAGAAAAUAAGUCGUAUUCAUUUAACUAUCGAUAUUAUGUUAAAGGUAUAAAUUACGCCCAGUGGUCACAUCCAGGUGACACACCACUUAAAAAAAUAAGGGAUGUUUUUUUUUAUUAUUGUUAUUAAUUAUGUUUUAAAUAUCUAAACACGUCAAUUAACACACAAAAAAAAAACAAUACUUAUCCAUUUUUCCUGAAGCUUGGGAAUUGACGGGUUAAGUUGAAAAAUGGCAAAUUAAAUUAAUAAAAAAGGUGAUUAGCUUUUCUGAAAUAAGUCAAAAUGACUAAAAAUCAAGUCCAGUAAUAUGUCCAAAAGUCAAUCACAGUCUUUUUCAUUACAGGCAAGUCAGUCACAAAACAUAAAUUUAAAUAAACUUGUUCAAUGUAAUAAUUCUGUUUUUACCGCUCUUGGUUAUCUUCUGAACUCAUUGACAUGAUUGUUACCAUAACAAAUCAAACAGCUGUAAGCAAAAUGGGAAAGAAUUUGCUACUGACUAUUGACGAAUUAAAACUUUUUAUUGAUUUGUCUGUGAUUAUGGCAUGUCUUGGAUACCAAUUGGUAAAGAUGUACUGAGAUUCUCAGUCUGAAAACUGAGGUGGCGCUUUGCAAUUGUGGCAGAUAAUAUGUGAAGGAACAGAUAUUUAAUAAUACGAAACUCUUUGAAAUUUGUUUUUGAUGACGAUGUUACAAAAGAAAAUAAAAAAUUUGGAUAAAUUGUGGAAAGUUCGUCCACUUCUUGACAAAAUAACAAAGUUUGCAACAAAGAAGUCAAGAAACAACACAUCUCAAUAGACGAUUUUCUCAUGCACCAUAACAUGUUAGUCAACUUGAAAUUAUAUUUUCUAUGGUAGGACGCUCGUUCUUGCCAACGGAUCGCAUUUUUGCAAAGAUUGAGAAGGAGACCAAGAACAAAAUCCAUUACACACAUGUAUGUUAAUUUAUUCAAGGAACAUGCGACAGUUUAUCAUUUAGGCGAUGACGACGUCGAAAUGCAUGAUUCGAAGACAGAAGUUACUACAACACUAAAACCUCCAGGAAGAUGACAUUUCAGGUUCAACCCUUCAAAACGUUUUAUGCUGCGCAAGGGUCGAUAGAACGUUAUUGUGCAAAGCGAAGAAAACUAUCGGAGUGAAAUUGGGCAACCUAAAUAUGUAACCAAACGAGGAAAGAAAAUCUCUAAAUUGGAACUAAAUAAGACCGUAUGAAAAUACAUGAUGUUGCUAACCUUUUAAAGAAGCACUUCGUUGAAGACUGGAAGAAUAUCGACUCUUUGAAAUAUUUUAAAGACAUAAAAGAAUAUAAUAAUAAUUUUGCAGAACAUGAAUGCAUUCAGUGUGUUGCACUAAAAGAAAGUGAAAAUUUUAUAUCAUAAAUUACAUUAAUACAAUUUCUUGUUCUUCGGGAUGAAUGAAUGUCUUUCAAUAGUGCCAAAUGAGCACAGAAAGUUCUGCCAAUGUCAGGUAGAAUGAAGAAUACACGAAGGAGAUUGAUCGGUGCGGUCGAGGUUAAAGCCUUCGUUAGUUUAUUUAAAAAGUAUAAAGGAAAUAGUAGUAGUAAAUGUGUAUAAUAUAAUAUGUCACUUGUAACUGUGAAAGAAACGAAAAGUCAUUUAGUGUGAAAUUGAUCUUUCUGGAUCUCGCGGAUUUUGAUACUAGACG
rnacentral:misc_RNA from 1 species